AGACCUCAGCACCCUCAACAGGCUUUUUGCAAUGCAGAAGUUGUGAUCAGGGCGAAGGUGGUUGGAAGAAAGCGGUGUCUAACGACAUCAAGUAUGACAUCCAACAGAUCAAGCUGUUCAAUGGU